UACGUAGGGUCCGAGCGUUGUCCGGAAUUAUUGGGCGUAAAGAGCUCGUAGGCGGCUUGUCACGUCGGUUGUGAAAGCCCGGGGCUUAACCCCGGGUCUGCAGUCGAUACGGGCAGGCUAGAGUUCGGUAGGGGAGAUCGGAAUUCCUGGUGUAGCGGUGAAAUGCGCAGAUAUCAGGAGGAACACCAGUGGCGAAGGCGGAUCUCUGGGCCGAUACUGACGCUGAGAAGCGAAAGCGUGGGGAGCGAACAGG
rnacentral:rRNA from 1 species